GACCGUAGAUCAACUGGCAAGAGCGCCGGAUUACCAAUCUGAAGGUCGCGGGUUCGAGUCCCGCCGACA
rnacentral:tRNA from 1 species